AUACGUAGGGGGCGAGCGUUGUUCGGAAUCAUUGGGCGUAAAGGGCGCGCAGGCGGCGAGGCAAGUCCGGUGUGAAAGUGCUCGGCUCAACCGAGUGAUGCGCUGGAAACUGCCCUGCUUGAGUACAGGAGGGGACGUCGGAAUUCCAGGUGUAGGGGUGAAAUCUGUAGAUAUCUGGAAGAACACCGGUGGCGAAGGCGGAAGUCCGGCAAUGUACUGACGGUGAGGCGCGAAGGUGCGGGGAGCGAACAGGUUUAGAUACCCUGGUAGUCCGCACAGUAAACGAUGUGCACCAGGUGGCGGGGGGUAGCCCUCGGUACCGAAGCCAACGCAUUAAGUGCACCGCCUGGGGAGUAUGCCCGCAAGGGUGAAACUCAAAGGAAUUGACGGGG
rnacentral:rRNA from 1 species